GCCUUGGCGACAGAGUGAGACUCCGUCUAAAAAAAGAAAAAGAUAAAGAAAAAGAAAAAAAGAACACUUCGGCCCUGGCACAUUCCUUGGAUCAGAGGUCAUGCAAGGAACCAAGCUGUUUUGUUUUGGGCUAGGUGAAGGUUUCCUGGCAGAGGUUGCUAAGUGGAGGUUGCUCUGGGAAAAACAUCAUAUAACCUGCAUGCAUUUGACAAACAGGAGGGGAUUUCUUGUCUCACCUGCUGCUCCUGGGCUCCCUGCCCGGGAAGCCCAAGUGAUCAUGGAGCCUCGAAAAGAAAGGAACUCAUCCAAUUCAUACAGAAAUGAAAACUGUCCUUUUUCUAAGCCCUGCAAACGGAAGACGGAAUACUUUGUGUUACAGAAUUCAGACCAACGCCGUGACUGGAGAUUCAUUUGCUUCUACACUGUUUUCUCCAAAAGAUGUUGAAGAACAAAGAGAAAAUGUGAAAGGAAAAUCAAAUCUCGAGGCCCCAAACUCACUAUGCCAGUGCAGCCAGUUAAGCUUGGAAACAGAGCCACUCCAAAAUCUGCCUUUGUUUUGGUUUCUAAACAGAUAUUUGCAAAGAUGGAAGGCAACAUAUACCCCAGUUGGCCUGCCUCACAAAUUCCUCACAAGGAAAAUCCUUGUAAGUCCCCAAAUUUUUACCCUGAGACAGACUUUGUAUGAUUUCACUGUGACAAUGCAAAUUGGCAACUUAUCUGGACUGGUACAUAACGAUGACAAGACUGGAAGUGACCCUUCUGCCCACCCUCAGACAAAUGCACAUAUGCCUACUUCCUCUAGUUUCGGUUUAUUUUUAUCUAAUAGAAAAUGUAGAUUAACUGUGCACGAGAUGAAUGAAUAAUGGACUGUUCCUCUAACCCCCUUUCACAUGGAACCUGUGGAUUCAGGGAGGGUCAAUCAAAGCCUCACAAAAAUGUGACCACUCAGUUCAUUACCUAUCCUGUCUUUUUUCCUUUCCUCCUACCACUCCUGCCUAAUUUUACACAUUUAAAUGUUGAAGCCCUCAGAAGGCCCUGUGAAUAAUGAGUGGGCCCCAGAUCUUCCUGUGACUUGUGUAUCUUUUUCCUGGGUGCAUCCUCAACUUAGGCAGAGUAAACCUCUAAACUGACUGAGAUGUGUCUUAGACCCUCUUUGGUUUACAAGUCUUGCCUCCUCCCUGAGUUGCUGGCUGAAAGCAACUUCCUCUCUUCUUGCCUCAGUUUCCUCAUCUGAAAACUCAGAUCAUAGUCUUGGCCCAUUGAGGGGAUGAUUAUAAAAUUCAAUCAAACGGAGAAGUAUUUGCAAAUGGUAUAUAUUGCAAAGUGUGUUGUGCAGUCCCUGUGUAAUCACCUUUCUGUUCCUCCCUCAGAAACUGGUGUGUGUGUGUGUGUAUGUGUGUAUGGGUGGGAGGAGGUGGCCACGAUGUCCCCAGAGAUGUUUGCUGAGGAUGAAAUAGGCUUCCAUGAAAGGGUCAAGUUGGCUUUUGUGGUUUAGCUGCCUCUGAGGCCCUUCUGCCUGGGGCAAAGCACAAAAGUCCAGCAGAAUCUGGUUGCCUGACUUCUUAGCCAUGGAAUUGUGGUGAGCAGUGGU